rnacentral:rRNA from 1 species
CAACGUGAGGAACCUACCUUCAAGUGGGGGAAUAACUCCCCAGAAAUGGAAGCUAAUACCGCAUGUGGCUGGAUGAAGACAUCUUCGUCCAACUAAAGAUUUAUCGCUUGAAGACGGCCUCGCGGCCUAUUAGCUAGUUGGUGGGGUAACGGCCUACCAAGGCAAUGAUGGGUAGCUGGUCUGAGAGGAUGAUCAGCCACACUGGGACUGAGACACGGCCCAG